GUAAAUAUAGUUUAUAAAAAUAUUAGACUGUGAAUCUAAAGACAGGAAUUAGAACUCCUUAUUUACC
rnacentral:tRNA from 1 species